CUCGCGGGGCGGUGACCGUCGCCGGCUUUCGAGCACGGCCUCCCGUUGCCCCGAGGGAAGGUCGGUUGGAUGUCCCGAAGAAUUUCUUCUCCGACAGAGCGGCGAUGCGUCGGCUGCCCCAGGAGGCGGGGCGGUCCCCAUCCCUGGAGGCGCGAGACGCGGCACGGGGGGACGUGGGCAGCAUUGGCGGCAGGCGGGCCGUUGGGCUGGAUGACCUUUGAGGUCGCUUCCAACCUCAUGGCUCUCUUUAGACACCCCGGGGGCCAACUCCAUCCUGCACGCUGCUGUCGGCUCUGAGGUCUGAUCGGAGGCCUUCUCCUUUCCCUCGAGGCGCUGCUCGGCCGCUGUGUUGCUGCAGGGGUGCUGCGUGAGCGCAGAGCACAGCCGGCUUUGUCCACCCUGACAGGCUCACCUUUCUUCCUGCCUAGAAACACCGCUGCGGGACUCGCCCCCCCCCCAGGGAAAGCAGAAGCUCCAGCGCGGGGCUGGGGACUAGAAGAGCCCCGUUAUGUGCUACGGAACAAAGGGAACAUCGAGCGAGAAGCCACCUCGCUUCGCAGAGCACCCCGGCUCCCGCUCCAGCUGCUCCGUGCCGGGGGAGCAGCAGCACUGAGCCCCCCCGGGUCCCGCAGAGCUGCAAAGGAGCACGAGGGGCAGGUGCAGAGAGUGCACGCGUAAGGAGGAGCCGGCAGCACCGCCGGACCGCAGGUUGUCAGACAGACCCCGCCAUCCCAUAACGUUAGGGUUGUAGAGAUGCAUCAGCAUCACUCCGGACGGCUUCUCUGCCACCGUAGGCCAACGCUUUGCUCAAGCACAUGAAUCUAACAGACAGAACCCCCCCUUCAACCCGCCGUGCUUUGAAACGCACCCAGCAACACCUGUCCCCAGCAGAGCCAGCCCUGCCCCACGUCGGAGCUGGGUUCCGUCGGGCUGGGUGUGGAGGUGCCGGCCAGCAUCUCUGCACGACAGCGAGCCUGAGAAGCUAAUUAGCGCCCGUUUGCUGCUUUCAGAGAGGAGAUUCUGAGCGCUGUUGGUAAACUCAUUUCAAGGAGUCGCACUCAAUUUGCAGCGACGGAUGCUCAUCGUGGCUUUGUUCCCACAUCUACAAAGAGCAGCGCUGCAGAGGGGCUUUGAUGAUCCCUCUCGUUUGGACAGCUGGCAGGGAGCAGGAUGCACCCAGGAAUAGAAGGGCACACGGGAGCCACGGCGUCCCCUGCACGAGAGCAAACGGAGAGGCUGGACGUCUGUAAAGUGGGGGAUGUGGGGUUCUAUCCUAGUGAUGCAACUGGAAAGUGAAAGCUCUCGCACUGCGUGGGAGAGCAGAAAUCCGCUCUGCGUCUUGAAAUAGUUGCACGUGAAGUCCUGCCCUCAACUCGCGACCUGCAACCUGCACGGCAUGGCUCUCAGGAGCCCAUUGUAGGGGCGGUUGUUGCACUGCUGGGCUCCUCCAGCUCUUGGGGGUCAGCGUGGCAUCGCACGCCCAGGGACGUCGGCGUCAGUGGGAGCCAAGCCCAGCAUCGUCAGCACAGCUGUCAGGGCCCCGGGUGGGCCCUAAUGAGGCCCCCAGGUGCCACAGGGCUGGGCUGCCCUAGCACAGCUGCGCCUUAUCGGCGGCUCAGGGCAGGGCCCGCCCUCAACGCCUCUUAAACCCCCACCAGAGCUUGCUGGGAUCCACUGGGGGCUGCUGGGAGCUCAGGGGCUCAUUCAGGGCUUGCCGCAGCAUGCUGCCAGGCUCCCACACUGCUCUCUCUUUUUGGGGAGGGCGCUGGGCUUCUGCUGGGCUUUUUUGGGGUCUGGUUUCUGCUGGGCUCCUCUGCUCUUUUGGAGUCAGUGUGGGGUGGCCCUGCUGGGCUCUGGCCUUGUUUUCUUCUUUUUGGUGGUGGUAUGGGAUUGCUGUUGGUGCCCCUGCCCUCUUUGGGUCCAGCACAGGGCUGCUCUUGGCUCCCCUCUGCUCCUUAGAGCCUAUGCAGCACUUUUGCAAAGCAGCUCUCCUAGCCCCUUUGUGGGGUUAGUUAAGGGCAGUUUGCAGGUCCUGCAGCAACGGAGGAGAGCAGAACGGAGCUGCGCCCCUUACCCUGGAGCUGCUGGGGGUCAGAAGCAUCGCAAGGGGCUGCUUUCAAAACAGCAAAUGCUGGGGAUAUCCAUUUAAUCACGUUUGUUCUCUCUCCUUUUUGUUUCUCUCUUGCAGGGUGAGAGCUCCAGCGAGGAUCAGCCCGCAGUACUGAGCGGCUGUGGCAGCGAUGGGAGCGUGGAGCUGAGUCCCAGGGGUCUGGGCGAGCACGUUCCCUCGUGCCCAGACCCCGGGGGCUCUUUGCUUGCAGCAGGAGGAUCCUUCUGCCCUUCUAUUGGGGUCAAUGCAGUGCUGCUGCUGGGCUCCCUACCUUCUUUUUCUGGGUUCUGCUGGACUCCCCGAGGCAGAGCGCAGCCCUGGGGGUGCCCACUGCCCCCCUUGGUUGCAGCAGCGGGGGCGUGCAGGAUGGAAUCAUGGUUGUCCCCUCCCUAGCCCUAUUGCUGCUGGGAGUAAGAAGCAACGCCAGGGACAGCUAAGUUGAAAGCAGUGCUUUAAAUCACUUGCUGUGCUUUUAUCUUUUUGAUUUCCCCAAAAAGCUGUUGCAAGGUAAGGUGCUUUGCAGCAGGGAUCAGCCCAGAGAUGCAAGGUUCCCGCUGCACUGGGACUGCAGAGACGAGCACUGGGAUGUGGCGGUGUGAAUCUUUAGUUUUACUCAUGAAUUUUGUUCACAGAACCACAGGAUUGUAGGUGCUGGAAGGGACCUCUGGAGGUAACGAAGUUAACCCCUCUGCAAACUUCAUCAUAGAGGUGCUCCAGGCCCUGCAUCGUCUUUAUGGCCCUCUGCUGGACUCCUUCCAGGAGAUCCCUCUCUUUGUUUGUACUGAGGAGCCUGGAAUGGGAUGCAGUACUGCAGGUGUGCAGCUCUGCAGCCCUUCCUGUGGGACGGCAGCACAGCCUUCCGGUGCAUCAGCUGCUCUUCCAAGGCCAGUUCUCAGCCCACCUCCCUGCUCACUCAUGUUGGGAUGUUGCGGGAGGAAAAAAAUCCAGCAGCAUUUCUGACUAAAGGUAGAUGACAUUGGCUCUCUCCUCCAUCUGCAUGCCUGGCGAUGCCAUUGUGGAAGACUGUGAGGGCCUUGGUUUGUGGGUUCCACUACAGCAGCAGCCCCUCAGAGGAGGUUUGAGGAGCUGUUCUCGCCACAGGGGCAGGGCUGGAGCAAGGUCCUGGUGCUGCCUGUCUAAGGGAGGAAGGCUGCCAGCUGUGCCCUUGUCCCCUGUUGGGGUUGUGGGGUGAUGGAGCUGCUUGGCGUCCAGGAGGAGCUGAGGGGAUCUGGCAGCUGUCUGAUGUUUUGUGUUCCUGAUGGGAGCAGUGGCUUCUGUGAGCAGUGCCAAUUGUCCAGCUUUCCCAGGGUGUGGAGGAGCAGCAUGAUGGGGGCUCCCCGUGCGAGACCAAGGAUUUAAGCUGCUGCUGCUGCUCAGAGUGGUGUGGUUCCCCUUCUGUCUGUGGUAAGCUUGAGGUGGAAACAGAAGUGGUAGAUUUCAAAUGUCUGCAGGAGAAGAGAACAUGCUUGAGCUGGAGCUUGAAAUAAUGCUCUUGAGUGGGGAGGCUUGCUGCUUUGCUCUAUCAAAGGAAACAAAAACUAAAUUGAGCAAGGCAACUCAUGAGGUUUGAUGUAAAGAGGGAAAAAAAAAUCUGGCACUCACCCUCUAAUGCUUGGAGAUCUGCUCUUCAUCCUCUGCUCCCUUGAAGCUGCUUCAUUUCAGGUACCCUUAUGCAUCUAGAAGAAAGCAAGUAGCUGCAUUGAAGAAUGUUUUCCAAUAUGUACAAGUUUGAUAUUGAUGGUUAAAUGUUAUUAAUAAAUGGGAAAGAAUAAAUAUUUGUUACAGCUGACUGCUAUCAUUACACUGUGUCUCUACAUAAGAGUAUGUCUAUAUGUUGUUUCUUCUAGAAGCAUGCAAUACAGAACAAGGUGAGCACUGAGAAAGCUGUAGGUCCUGGGAGCUGGGCAGAGUCCCUUCCACUACAAACCGUGCU
rnacentral:lncRNA from 1 species